rnacentral:lncRNA from 1 species
AACCAGGUUCAAGUCAACCCACAGCAGCAGCUUCCACCUACUGGGCAGUCUCAUACCCAAAUUCCAUCACAAAUACUUCCAGCUUCUCAUGCUCAGCCACCUACUCAGCCUCCGCCAUAUCCUCAGCCCUAUCCGAUGCAACCUCAUUCACAACAGCAUGUGCAGGUGCCACAGUAUCAGCAGCAUCCUGCCCAGGUUCACCCUCCCCAGUCUUCUCAAGCCCAACCGCAGCCGUUUGUGCAUCAACCUCAUUCACAACUUCAACCGCAGAUAAAUGUUCAACAUCAUCAACAAUCUCAUGGCCAAUUGCGCCCCCCUCAGGCUGGCCAACCUGCUCAUGGACAGACUCAGACCCUCCAUUCAACAGCCAAUGCAGUUUCAGGGUACAAUUCCUAUCCGCAACCCCAGCCCAUGCAGCAAAUGCCUAUAGGGUUUACACAGCAAACUCCAAUACGUCCACAUCCUACUAGUGGGCCUAUUCCUCCCGUUCAAACUCAUAGUCAGGUUCCUCAACAACCUCCUUUGCGCACCAAUCAGCAAUGGGGCUUGGUACCUUCUCAAGGUCAAACUCCUGCACAGUCUCAACUUUAUCCUGCUCCACAUGCAGGGCAUUUAAUUCAGCAACAUCCUGUUCAGCCUAAUCAACAACCAAUGUCUCAGCAAUACAGUCAACAGCAGGCAUUUCCUGGUCCAUUGCAGAGUCAGUCACACCAACAGGGUCAUCUUACUCACCAGCAGCCUUUGCAGUCUCAGUUUCGCCCGCAAGGUCUUCCUAGUGUGGUGCCUCAGAAUACACACACAUAUAUCCAACCACAUCAAAAUGUUUCCUUACCACCUCCCCCACAGCUUCAACAAUCUCAAACAUAUAUAGGAAGACCUGGGAUGCAAAAUCAUGUCC